rnacentral:snRNA from 1 species
GUAUGAAGCUAUAAUAUAUGUCAUCUCAUUGACCACCAGGUAAAUUCCACUGAUCUGACUGGAUCAGGAGAUAUCCCCUACCUCCUUCACCUCUUCAUAUGCAUCCCUCCUGCAGCUGUGUCCUCAGUCUAAGAGGAUGAACAUCCUACUCGGGAGAACUAUCCUUUGACCAAGGGUAUUACAGUAGUUACUUUCUACUGCAAACAAAAUUCAAUUAUUACAUCUUCUUGUUAAAGUAAGCACUUA